rnacentral:rRNA from 1 species
UCCUGGCUCAGAACGAACGCUGGCGGCAUGCCUAAUACAUGCAAGUCGAACGAGAAAGUCCCUCGGGAUGAGUAUAGUGGCGCACGGGUGAGUAACACGUAGGUGACCUACCUUCGAGUUGGGAAUAACAUCGGGAAACCGGUGCUAAUACCGAAUGAUCUAAAUCAAUUGAACAAAGAUUUAGCAAAGAGGGGUAAUUUAUUAUCUCUUGCUUGAAGAAGGGCCUGCGGAACAUUAGCUAGAUGGUGGGGUAAGAGCUUACCAUGGCAACGAUGUUUAGCUGGUCUGAGAGGAUGAUCAGCCACACUGGAACUGAGACACGGUCCAGACUCCUACGGGAGGCAGCAGUAGGGAAUAUUGCACAAUGGGGGAAACCCUGAUGCAGCGACGCCGCGUGAGUGAUGAAGGCCUUCGGGUCGUAAAGCUCUGUCGUAUGGGACUAACACAAUGAAGGUACCAUGCAAGAAAGGAUCGGCUAACUUCGUGCCAGCAGCCGCGGUAAGACGAGGGAUCCUAGCGUUGUUCGGAAUCAUUGGGCGUAAAGCGGGUGUAGGCGGACUUAUAAGUCAGGUGUGAAAUCCCAGGGCUCAACCCUGGAAGUGCAUUUGAUACUGUAAGUCUUGAGUGUGGUAGAGGUUACUGGAAUUGUUGGUGUAGUGGUGAAAUACGUAGAUAUCAACAGGAAUACCGGAGGCGAAGGCGAGUAACUGGGCCAACAUUGACGCUGAGAUCCGAAAGUGUGGGGAUCAAACAGGAUUAGAUACCCUGGUAGUCCACACUGUAAACGAUGGAUACUUGUUGUUAGAGGUAUUGACCCCUCUAGUGACGCAGCUAACGCGUUAAGUAUCCCGCCUGGGGAGUACGGUCGCAAGAUUAAAACUCAAAGAAAUUGACGGGGGCCCGCACAAGCGGUGGAGCAUGUGGUUUAAUUCGAUGCAACGCGAAGAACCUUACCU